AAGACAGCAAGGUUAGGGGUGAGGAAAGUGAACUACAGCUCAGAAUUGAAGGGGCUGGAUCCUGAGAGUGAGUGUUUCACCCUGGGCUUGGGCCUGGUGCAGCCUAAGCUUCAAACCCGAGUCCCAUGAUUGGUCUCUGGUGUUCUACUAAUGAAUGUAUUUUAAAAUAAAACCUCUAAUUACCUGGUGAUGAGCAAAACUAUAUUAUCUUGUAUUUUUAUUAGUAAAAGCAUUAGACAUAAACAUUUGACAUGUGCCAUCAUUUUAUAACUGCCUGGGAAUUUCAUGAUUUUUUUUACAUAGAGCAAAUGCCUGCAAAACUGUAAGUGCUCUGAGCUUCUCAGAAGUGGAGAGGUCUCUAAGCACAGAAAUAGUUUCUUCUUGCUCUGGAGUCUGCUCUGGGUGUAGAUGCCUCAAUCCCUGACCCCUGCCCUCCCCCAUUCACUCGUACAACAGUGCUUGGAACCUAAAGAACGAUGCUCUCAACUUCUCUCUCUCUCUCUCUCUCUCUCUCUCUCUCUCUCUCUCUCGGCCUUCCAAGUCCAACCCCCUGUACACCUCAUCCCUUAUCUACUCCUACUGACCAUUCCCUCAUGUGUUUCAUGGGCCUCCUUGGAUCACAAAGAUUUUCAUCUCCAGGUUUAUGGAGCUCUGUGUUGGCGCGCCAGUGGGGCUUCAUGCAUAAUUAAUGACAAUCCCCCUACACAUGUUUUCUAUUAGCAAUUCAGGCUCUUUCAGGACUUUUUAAAACAUACUUUGCAAUUCGCCAAAAUUCUAAGAGGCAUUUAAAUAGGAAAAAAUCCAUAAAAGCACAGAAUGUCUGGGGUUUCUGGAAGGAGGCUUUAAUGAAGAAUUUCUCCCCAGAGGAGCAUUUCCUGAAAUGCUUUCUGCUCUGCACCACAAGUGUCUCCACAUGAGUACAAGACUAAAUCUCAGGUCUCCUCAAAAACAAUGUCAAUGGAAUUCAUUAAAAAAAAAAAUGGUCCCAGGUUACCAUAACAACCAAGGUUCCAACAUCGUGUUGACUAACUGCAAAGUGAUAUGAUCAGAGAGACCAGAGCAGAGAACAAAAGUAUCAGGUUGCCAUGGCAACUGUGUAUACAGAAAAUGGAGUUGUUUCAAGGGGGAAGUUUCCAGUGCAAAAGUAAAUGUAAAGCAUCCUUCUAGAGUGAAUGAUCACCCAGGAAAAUUUCUACAUGAGUCAAGAGUUGCCCCAUCAUUUUAUUUGGUUGGCAAAGCUCUAAGACAAAAGCUGUAUCAGUUAGUUAUUGCUGUAUAACAAAUAAUCUGAAAACAUAGUGACUUUGAACAAGAACCACCCCCUCCUCCCCGCCCAAGGAGUCUAUGGAUUGGCUGGAAAGUUCUGUGCAUCUGGGCUGAGCUCAGGUUAUCUGUGCCAGGUUCAUAUGAUUUCAUCUGGACUUGUUCAAGAGUCUGCAGGCACUAGCAGGUCAGCUGGGGGCUGACUGACCUAGGAAGGCAUCAGUUGAGAUGACUUGGCUUUGCUCCACAUAGUCUUACACCCUCCAGCAGGUAACCCUGGAUUUGUUUCUCAUGGCCAAAGCCAGACCUCAGAAGACCUCUUGAGCUCUUGAAUCAGAACAGUCAGACCAUCAUUUCUACAACAUUCUACUGACUAAAGCAAAGCACAAGACCAGCCCAGAAUUAAAAGAUAUGGAAAGAGACUCCAUUUCUUGAUGGCAGAGGAUGCCACAACCCAUUGCAAAGGGUGUGGACAGAGGCAGGAGUUGGAGGAUUGGAGGCAUUUCUGCAAACAAUAUGCCAAGAGGCCAACUUUUACAUAUAACAUCCCCUUGAGCUCACACACAAAAGUUGAAUGUGCAAAAGGCAAACAAUCCACCUACAUAUUAAAAGGCUUCCAGAGAGCAGAACAAUAUCGUAAAAUGUCAAAUGAGAGCUCAUGUAUUAGACACAAAUUUUGAUCAUGUAUUUCCAGGAUUUUGUGCUUAUUCUUUAAUUUUUUCCCUUCCUUCAAAACCGAACAGAGUCAAGGGACCACUUGAACCCCACAGGGCAUGUAAUUGAGGCCGGAUAGGAGAUUGCUGAGACAUUCAUUCAUCAGCUGAUGGAGAGAGGCAGUUUGGUGAAGUGAUUAAAAGAGUGGGUUUUGAAGUCAGGCUGUCUGGGUUCCAAUCUUCUCUCAAACCCAAUUUACAUGUAUUUUAGGUAAGAUGCCUGACCUCCAUGAUCUUCACUACCCUCAUCUGGAAAAUGUGGGCAGAAUAUUUUAUUGAUCCUAAGAUACACUUUUCACUUUUCAGUAUCUUUGAAAUUAAUUGGGUUAUAUAACUGAUGCCACAUUCAAGACAGACAUAAAAUGUCAUAUGUCCUAUUCAUGGCAUCUUAGAGUCAAUAAAUAUGGUGGCGCCUGCCUCAAGGGUUGAGUUAAUCUAUGCUGAUUGAUUAGAACAGUGGUCUAUUCCCAGUAAGAGCUCAGUAAAUGUGAGUUAAGAGGAGGAGGAAAAUUCAUGUUUGGUAUAUGUGUAGGUGGUUUAGGAAACCAGACAUAUAAUAUAUGUACAUUCAAGUUGUGCACAGUUUGAAUGUUUGGAAGACGAGGACAGUGUGCAUCUGCUUCUGCACGGAGCCUUUCUGGGAGAAGUGGAUAAAUUGAACUUCUCUGAUUACUAGUUAGUGCUCGCAACAAUUUUUCUUGACUGCAUAUAACCCUCCCAUUAACCAUGGGAGGGCCAUGUCAUCUGCCCAUUUUACUGAAGGAUCAGUGAAGUGGGAAAGGUAUGGUUAGGGUCACAUCAAUUAGUGGCAGAGAGAAUCCACAUACCUCGAUUCCAAACUGUCUUCAUUCAUCUCCUGAGAUAGGAAGAGGCAACAGAGGUGAGCAUGAGGGAUUCUUUGUUUCAAUGCUCAGAAUUAUUGUGUUAAAUGUGAAUGUGGGUUGGUAGCCAGUCAAUGCUGGUUCAGAACCUCUCUCUAGAAGGUGUUCAGAAGCAGUAAUUUGAUUGGAAGCAGGCCUGGGAGCUUUGUGCUAUGGGCUGAAUGUUUGCGUCCCCCUCAAAUUCAUAUGUUGAAAUUCUACCCAAGGGGAUUAGAUGACGAGGGUGGAGCCUCAUGAAGGGGAUGAGUGCCUUUAUUAAAAUAGUCCCUAGAGUCUCCUUCUACCAUAUGAAGUCACAGCCAGAAGAUGGCUGUCUUCAAUGGCCCCUCGCCAG
rnacentral:lncRNA from 1 species